UCAGAGUUACAGUGAACAUCUAGAGCACGAAAUCAAUCGAUGAUAAAAGAUAUUAGAUGAAUGUGGUCUAUUUUUGUGUGUACAUGUCAAGUUUGUUCUACACAUCAGCUCAUCGAACAGACAGUGACUAAAUGUUGUUGACUUGGUGUUGGAGCAGUUGCUAAAUAUCAUUUCACUGACGAAGUGUUCUUUCAGUGACUAGAUUUUGUUUUAGUGACUACUCAUUAUUUCAGUGAAAUAAGUGUUUUUCUUUUUCAGUGACUAGGUGUUGUUUCAGUGACGAGGUGUUGUUUCAGUGACUAGGUGCUGUUUCAGUGACGAGGUGUUGUUUCAGUGACGAGGUGCUGUUUCAGUGACGAGGUGUUGUUUCAGUGACGAGGUGUUGUUUCAGUGACUAGGUGCUGUUUCAGUGACGAGGUGUUGUUUCAGUGACGAGGUGUUGUUUCAGUGACGAGGUGUUGUUCCAUGAACACAUAAAAUGCUUGCGUUAUUGUGUUUCAUUCUCUCUGCGUCUCUGUGUUGGGCUCUCCCUCCCAGACCACAUCUUGUGUUUAUUGUGUCUGACGAUUUAGGUUGGAAUGAUAUAGGCUACCACAACCCAGACAUCAUAAGUCCUACCAUAGAUUCUCUGGCCUAUUCUGGGAUUAUACUGAACCAAACCUAUGUGCAGCCUUUAUGUUCACCAUCCAGAAGUGCUCUUCUAACAGGUGUCUAUCCAUUCAGGCUUGGAACACAGGUGAGUAGUUCAUCUAGAG
rnacentral:sRNA from 1 species